UCUUCGCAUCAAAUGGCAGAAUCAUGUUCCCAAGAAAGAUUUCCUCAAGCAAGCAAGAAUACCAAGCACGUUUGCACUCCUCACCCAAAGACGUAUGAGAUUGCUUGUACAUGUUAGCCGUAUGGAAGAUGGCAGAAUCUCCAAGGACAUACUCUACGGAGAGCUUGCUAGGGGCACUAGGUCUGUGGGAAGACGGUCGUGAAGAGAAAGAGUG